GAAGCUAGAGGAAGUAGUGGUUGGUGAGUCAGCGUGAGUAAUUUUGUUCCAAUGAGAAUGAAGAUUGAGGGUUUUUUUUUCCCUCUUAAACAUUUUGGACAUCAUUGCUUAAUGGAGGGAAAUAAGCGAUAUUAUGUCUGUGUAGCUAGUACUUCUUGAUUUUUAAAUCAAAUGAAAAAAUAUUUAGACUCUAGAUAUGUGUCUUCAUAGGCACCUUCCUCGUAGGAAAGUGAGGGGGAAAACAGCUCCUGCUUGUCCAGAUGAGAGAGAGCCACAUUGCGUUCGGUUGCAUCAUACAAUGCAAGCUGUGGGCUCCCCAGCACAAUGAUUACUUUCCCACUGUCCAGACAUCGCUGAGAUCAGAAGAGGCCACCCGUAAGGACAAGAUUACAUAAAGCCACAAGGAUCAUUUGUACUGCAACAAUGGCGUCUCAGCUAUGGGAGAAACCUUAGGCCUCUCCGUACACAGGCCGAGGUGAUGCAUUCAGGUUCAUUUGGCAGAAAACUUUUAGAUGUAGGGAUCACCCAACACUCCCUGCCAGAGGAAUUAAUGGUUUUAAAAGCCAGAAUGUGGGAAGACUUAAAAAGGAAAAUAAAAGCAUCAGGAAAUGAGGAAGCAGGCACACAGGAGGAAAUAGGACCGGGGUGUCUGACAGACAACUUGCUCUUUACUAGAGGUUUUUGUCACCAGGGAUAACUGUACCGUUGGCCUCUUCUGCCAACCCCAAUGUUAGAAAAUAAGUUCCAACACCAACAGCAGAAACAAGAGAGACACCCUGGAAUACAAGUAAAUUGUAGUGGACUGCAGAAUAAUUAAAGUGUAUCAAGUAAUAAGGCUGAGUAAGAUGAAAAUAUUGUGAAUAAAGAAAGUUAUAAUUCAGUCAAAGGAAAUGUGUGUAAGCAAAGAAGAAACACCUGCUAGCUAUGACCACAUCCCACAGAGAGGAGAAACAGGUGACCCUCUUCUCUUUAACCAGUUUACUUUGGACAGAUGUCAACUACAGAAGCCACUACCAGCAAACCAGUGAUCUGUUUUAGGAGAGAACUCGCUCCAAUGGCUCUCUCAGUUGGCUAAUAUUGCUAUAGGGUAAGGUUUCUAAUAUUAAACCCAAAUAGGAAUGGCCAAAAUGCAGACAUUUUACCAAAAACCUUUCUCAGGGUGCGGGAGAUCACCUAAUGCAGUUUUAACUUGAAAUGACAUUGGGGGAGGGAGUUCCACAGACUUAUGCAUCCGAAGAAGUGGGCUGUAGUCCACGAAAGCUUAUGCUCUAAUAAAUUUGUUAGUCUCUAAGGUG